rnacentral:rRNA from 1 species
AGUGAAGUGGGAUGAGCUCAGCACCGAAGCCGGCGGUCGAAAGGCCGUCGUGCAAUGUGGUGUUCGGGAGGGCUCUGUCCGUGUCCGGUGUUGGUCCAAGUCUCCUGGAAAGGAGUUCCGUGGAGGGUGACAGGCCCGUGCGACCAAAUGCCGUGUUCGCGGACGAGUCCUUCUUCGAGUCGGGUUGUUCGCUAAUGCAGCCCUAAGCAGGUGGUAAGCUCCAUCUAAAGCUAAAUAUGACCACGAGCCCGAUAGUCAACAAGUACAGUGAUGGAAAGUUGAAAAGUACUCUGAAGAGAGAGUCAAAUAGCCCGUGAAGCUGCCAGUAUGGGGUUAAGCGCACGUGUGACGCGUGUCGUUGGACAAAUAGGCGACUGCCGUGGCGUGCGGUCGACGCAGUGGCGGUGCGCAAGCAUCGUGUGGCGUCGGCGCCGGCGCGCCGGGCAGAACGCUUCCCUUUGUUCGACACCGACAGGUCGGGGCUUCGUUGUGCGGUCUUAUUGCCGACAGUUAUCCACAGAGCCGUGCUGGGCGGCCGCCGUUCUCGGACGGUGACCGUGCUCCGUUGAAUGUGGCUCUUCGCGAGCGCAACGGCCGGCUUGGUCUGCGGUGCAAUGCUGUCGAAUGUGCGAACGACUGUGCGACGGCCAACGCAUUCGAGUCUCACGAUUCGGCUCGGCCUUUGCGUCGUCACGUGCGGCCCGUCUUGAAACACGGACCAAGGAGUCUAACAUGUGAGCGAGCGAUUGAGAUUGUCAAAUCUCAAACGCGCAAUGAAAGUGAAGUGUCGUCUGACGGCACGAGCGGUGAUCCGGCGCCACGUGUGGCGCCGGCGCAACCGCGGGCCGCGCCAUGGGCUGGCUUGCUUUUCGGAGCACUGCUCAGGCGCGGACCUAGAGCCCACACGUUGGGACCCGAAAGAUGGUGAACUAUGCCUGGCCAGGAUGAAGCCAGAGGAAACUCUGGUGGAGGUCCGCCGCGAUUCUGACGUGCAAAUCGAUCGUCUGAGCUGGGUAUAGGGGCGAAAGACCAAUCGAACCAUCUAGUAGCUGGUUCCGCCCGAAGUUUCCCUCAGGAUAGCUGGCGCUUGUGUGAUACGGAGUUUCAUCCGGUAAAGCGAAUGAUCAGAGGAGCUGGGCUCCUUGCGAGCUCAACCUAUUCUCAAACUUUCAAUGGGUGAGACGUCUCGCUGGCUUCAGUGCAGCGACGACUCUGAAUCCGAGUGCCCAGUGGGCCACUUUUGGUAAGCAGAACUGGCGAUGCGGGAUGAACCGCAUGUCGAGUUAAGGUGCCUAAGCGAACGCAAAUCAGAUACCAUGAAAGGUGUUGAUUGCUCACGACAGCAGGACGGUGGCCAUGGAAGUCGGCAUCCGCUAAGGAGUGUGUAACAACUCACCUGCCGAAGCAAUCAGCCCUGAAAAUGGAUGGCGCUAAAGCGUUCCACCGAUACUCGACCGUCGUCGGCAUGCGAUGCGCCAUGUGCACAUCUGACGCCACGACGAGUAGGGCGGCGCGGCGGUGAGCGUUGAAGGCGUAACCGUGAGGUUAGCUGGAGCCGCCGUCGGUGCAGAUCUUGGUGGUAGUAGCAAAUACACAAGCAAGAUCCUUGUGGACCGAUGUGGAGAAGGGUUCCGCGCGAACAGUAUUUGGACGUGGGUGAGUCGGCCCUAAGCCAACGGGUAAUUCCCGCAUCCCGAUGUGUUACACAUUUAAAAUGACAUACAACGGGUUGAU